rnacentral:lncRNA from 1 species
AUGCGGGACAUGGAGGAGAACCUGAGUUCAUCCGCAGAGAGAGUGAAGCCUAAGGAGCUCCUGCUGCCAGACCUGCACUCACGUCAGGCCUGCUCCACCACCACAGUCUCAGAGAACUCGUGGCUAAAGGAAGCGGAUGGUAACCCGACUGUGUUGGUACUCGGCAGACCUAGGCAGAAGGUGCUCCUGUCGCUGUCGGGGUCGACAAACCUGAGCUCUGCCUCCAGCACCAGCCCGGAGAACUCCUUAUUGCCCAAGGUUUCAAAGGAAGAAUAAGGAGAAAUAAGGCAGCCCAUGAGAGGAGACAGUGCCAAAUUUGUAGAUUCAGCCUAAGGUAAGAUACCCAUGUUUUGGGUGUUCAGAUCAACCCAAGUUUGACUCUCUAAAGAGUUAAAUAUUUUCUAUGGAAAAAAAAAAAAAAGGAGAGAUAACCAAUGGAUGAUCCCGGGUGGGACACUUGUGUUCUCAGUGACACAGAGGACAAGCUUGAGUUCAUAUAGAACAUGGGUGCCUGACAUCCCAUGCUCACCCGCCUCCUGCUCUGCAGAUACAAGAGGUGGGGCCAACACCUAGCAGAGGCAUCAGCUGGGAGCUGGCCCUGGGCGUCCUCUGUGUGACCACCAGUCUGAGCUGUGGACCCCAGAGAGCAGUGGUGGCCAACUAGUGGCCAACUCACUAGUGUGCACACAGAGCAAGGGCCACAGACAGUUUGAUGAGCACUAGAACAGAAGGGCUGAGGGGCUCUGUAGAAGCUCAGACCCGGCCACCCAGGUGCUGUCUGCCAAAGUGCCCAGUGAUGGCGCUGUCUGCCCACGUGAUCCUUGCGGGGUGCUUCUGAACAGUGCUACCUCAUCGAAGAUGUUUACCACGGUAACGCCUCCCCUCAGAGUACACGGUGCUUGAGUAUGUUGGCCUCUUACCAUGCCUGUGGCAUGGAAUCAGUAGCUCCUGGAAAAGGAGGUAGAGGCUGAAAGGGUGAGUUUUUUUUCUCUAUGAUUCUGGAGAGGACUCAAGUUAGGUUUUAAGGAUCAUAAAAUACAAACCAGUGGCGUAAGUGACAGAGAGCCUGCCUCAGGUCCACUCACAUGGCAGCUUGGCUCCCAGGUAGACUGACAGCUGGGAGCUGUGUGCUUGCCACUCAUGGGGUGCAGGCGCUCCAGACUGGUGAGGAGCUGGGGAUCCUCAGGCCAGGGGCAGAGGCAGAGAGACCCAAAGAGAACUCCGCCAUGGGCACCGCUUCCCCUGGGGGGCUACAUCUUCCCAGCUUUCCAGGAGGGAGCCAGAAGACCAAGCUCAGAGCACAGCCAGAGUGGCAGGCAAGGGGGUGAUCCCAUAAAGUUGGGACUCAAAUGGCUAUCCCUGGAUUGUCACUCUGAUGGAAUGCAAGAGUAACCAGCCAUCUCAAGCCUCAGAGCUGAAGGGAGCUGAGAAAAAUCUCUGCCAACAGCUUGGAAGGACAGACUGUCCCUGACUUGAUCCCUAGACUCCUCAGGCUGAGGAUUAGCAGGUGCUGGGAGGCACCAGGAAGAAAUAAGCCGCUCUCCCCCAACGUGGCUGCAGACACAGACACACAAGGGCGUGGGGCAGGGGCUCGGGGACAAAAGGCAGAGUAACUGUGCUUAUUGUUUUGGGAAACAAAAGGCAAAGUGAAAAACAUCUGAUGAGGACAGAAAACUUGUUUAAUUUACGUGCGUAUUUGAAAAAAACAAAACUUAGGGCUCACAGUUCACUGAGGCAUUUAGCGGCAUGGAACACAGCUGGAACCUGGGAGCAUGACCCCAGAGCUGGAGGGUUCCGUGGCCAAACAUGGAGGCUGGUGAGCAAAGCUGGGCCAGAUCUGUGGUGUGAUCUGUCCCAGCAAUGGGGGGAGGUGUUUAUGGGUGGAGAGCCCUGCGCUGCCCUAGCUGCCAACCCACAGGUCCUAUGAUCUGAUGAGCCCAGGAAUGGUGAAUGAGAUUCUAGAUACACCCUGAGUCCACCGGCAAAUACCAGAGACAAAAUGCGUAUUUUUAGAUACCCAGCAAUACAAGUCAGAGUCCCUUCCGGGGUCUAUCGAUUAACUCCCCUCAUCCCAGUGGAAGCCUUUACUACGGUGGGGCUGCUAGCCCGGGGCGCCCUUUCUGGCUGACAAACCUCUUAGGAUGCAGGUGGAGUAGGCAUUUCUACAUCAGUAAGGAAUGUUAGCAAAUGAAAAGAGACCAUGUUCAAUAGCAGGUUUUUAAAAAGAUUUUAUUUAUUUAUUCAUGAGAGACAGAGAGAGGCAGAGACACAGGCAGAGGGUGAAGCAGGCUCCCUGU